GAGAAAAAAGGAGGAAAAAGUCAUCGAUAUAGAUCGGGAGGAUAUAUCCGCAAACCGCGAGUUAUAUUGAGAUUUUCGUGAGUGUUUUGUAAAUUGAUUGAUGUGUAUUGGUUGACACAGGCAAUGUGUUACAGUAUUUUUCACUUAGACUAUUUUGCCCGUGAGCGAGAGCGGCAGCACGUUCGGUUAGCCUUUAAUUAGUUGCCGGAUCACAUAGCGCUGUGGAAAGUGUUUUUGUGCUACAAACUUUAAUGGUGCCGGCUGGCCGUGAUCAUUCUGUCGUGGGAAGCGAUUAAGGAACUACAAAGCUUUUGUCGGGAUACCGGAUAGCGCACCCAGCCACCGGGAGCGUUGGGUGUUCCUCCGGCAUCGUGGGACGGCUGGCGGAAAGUCACUGAACGUGUUUAAAGUGCAGCCCCGGAGAAUAUCGUGCCUGCAUAAGGAACACAGAUCACAACACCAACAGCAGCCAUAACCAGGAGCAGAAGAGAAACACAUAUUCCUGCCAUCACACCUGAAGACUGAUCUGUGGAGGAUAAAACAUCAUCAUUAUCAUUAAUGAAUUCUUCACAGGCUUCAGUAAUGACAGAGAGACAAUAAUUAAUAUUAAAUGAAUUUAUUAAUAUGAUCAUAAACAUUUGUAACCAUGAUCAGAUUUCAUUAAAAAAAUACAUUUUUA